CUGGGUAAGGAGUGGCCAGGGCGAUGGCCACUUCCUCAGCCGUCUCCGCAUUUUGGUUAACGAUGCUGGCAGCAUUGUCGAAGCAAGCCGCCUGUUGUGGUAACCGCCGCAAAGCGCCGUCCAUCUUCCGUGGUACUCAGCUGCGUCGACGAAGGUGACGCCCGCGGUGUUGGCAUAAGCUUUGAUGAGGAACAGAGUCAUGCCUGGCUCUCUCAUCCUCAGUCUGACAAGGACGCCCCUAUGUUCACCGACCGGUAUAGAAAACACCAAGGAGACGCCCGUGCUGCCACGUGAGUGCGUUGCGUACGCCUGAAGGUCCAGAUCACGGUGGUCCAGAUGCUGCGGUGGAGCGCUCCGGAAGGACAGCGCUCCUCCCCUUCCCCUCCUCCUCCUCCUUCUCUCUCUCUCACUCCCUGUGGAGCAGCGGGAGAGAAGGACGGCAGUCGGCUUGCUCACUGACGCUCGCGGCGCUGGAGACAACACACGUAGGACGAAUAGGGUUACACGUAUAGCCAGCUCUACUAUACCGCUGUACAUACGUGCUAGUUAACGGCGCUGUUCUCUAGGGAAUUCCACAAAUAAACAACCUUGAUAUCCUCUUUGCGACAAAAAAAAAAGCACUUUCGAGCGCCGAGUUCUUUCAAUAAGAAAGCGAAUAGCAUUCUCGGAGAAAUCAGCUGUUCGCUUGCAUUUACAAUAAUCGUCGAUAGUGUCUGCGUAAUAUAUUUUUUUUCUUUUUCGUUAUAGGUUUGAGCGUUUCUUGGUAAGGUCGCCGUGUUGUUUUGAUGGUUGGUAGCAAUGUUGUUGUGUGUGCAUUGACUAUUCUACUGCGGAAACUAUCUACCUAAGUGCUGAAAGGACAGUAACUAUAUACCACUUUUUCAUGAGGGAAAGAAUAGCCAGCGGCGAAUUUGUACACUGAAAUCUCCGUAGUUAACACGUAAAAAAACAACAGAACUGCAAAUGAAGAAAUUAGUCGAAGACAGGGCUUUAAAGGAGAAAUGAAAGAGUCGGCUCUACUCGCUGACAACAUGGUUUGAGGCAACAAUGACAACUUUCUUUAGCGAUGAAGCGAAAGCUCCGGAGGAAAGGAAGGAAGGAAGGAAGGAAGGAAGGAAGGAAGGAAGGAAGGAAGGAAGCAAGGAAGAAGUGGAGAAGGAAAGGCAGGGAGGUUAACCAGUUUAGCUUAACCGGUUUGCUACCCUACACAUGGGAGAGGGAUGGGGGUGAUGAAAGAUGGAAGGGAGAGAGAGAGCACAUAGCACAGCACAAGAAAAUUGCCACAUUCUCACCCGCGCUAGUUCAAGCUGGAGAAGAGAGGACAUAAACGACUUACUUACAACAGCAAAAAUAAGACGAGAUGAAUCAAUAAACGUUAAAUUGCACUUAAUUUUUUUUGGCCUUGUAUUCCUUCCGCGUUUGCGCAAAUACCAAACCGUCAGCCGUGGAAAAGCCGCGCUGCCAUUCCCCUCCGGUAUUUGUCCCAAGAAACCAAAAGCGCUGUUCGAACGCUGCCGGAAUACUUGGCGUAUACGGCAGCACAGCACACGCAAAGCUAGAAGUUUAUGUGGUAAUCGCUGUCGCAUACAAAAUGAAAAGUCUGAGAGCGUUGUAGAACGUAGAGAAGACGGUGACGUCUGAGUCGUAAAAGAGAGAAAAGGUGCCGUGUGCACAAGCUGCUAGUCUUCAAUGGACGACUCGCCGCGGGAGCGGGCUAAGUGCCCCCUGAGGCAGCCAGCGCGCAGCGGUGUGCCGCCCUCCGCACGGCUUGUGCGACCCGUGCCAAAAACGGGCACCCGCCGCUUCAAGGCGUGGAAAGUCGUCGCGAGAGUUUGCGACACGAGGUAUACUAUGGAAACGAGCCUCCCUUCUGGGUCGACCGUGUACUACGGCGUCUCUUUUGUCGUUGCAGGCAAUGAAGAAGAAGGCAGGGCUGGAGAAAUUCUGCAGCGAUGACAAGCGCGUGAGAGCGACGUGCACGCGUUUUGAAAGAUGUGGACCGAGUCGAUUUCAGAUUUUUGUUUUGUUUUAAAGCGGCUGCGCAGAAGUUACUAAGUUACUAGUAAGAGAGAACGCU